CCGCCUCCAGGCCCAUCCCAAGAUGGCGGAGAUCCCCUUGUACUUUGUGAACUCGCAGGGCGACUUAGACGACUGUUAAGUGAAGUUGGGGCGUCCCCGCCCCUCGCUGGGACCCUCGCACAGAACUCGAGGUGCAUGGAACUCGGGGUUGGCUGCAGGCUAGGCCCUCGUGUUGGGACCAGAACAGCGGGACCCCCAACUGCCUUGAUUACCACGUGGCGGCCCCUCCUCACUGGGAGUGGGGGGCCAGACUGAGAUGGGGAGGCCGCCCCUCCGGGAGGAAGGUGUUUGUGGAGGUGGGGGAGACUUUGACUUCCUGUCACUUCCUUUCGUUUCCUCCUCCAGCUACCCCAGGAGGGGCGGGGUGGGGUAUCCCUAGUCCUGGUCGACUCGGGGAGGGAGGAGGGUGCCGCCGCCUUGGAGGUGUUGGCAUCCGCCCCAGAGCCUCGGGCGUUUUCCCCGGGACUUUUCGGAGCGCGGGGAGUAUGGGAAGUCCGGCUCGCCCGACCUCAGCGUUGCACAGACUUCUCAAGCCACCUGGCACUUACUCCGAGGAGCCUAUUGGUGCCGCAUCUCAUGGUGCUUCUCUACCAGGGAGCAAUUUUGAACCCCCAGGGACAUCUGUCAAUGUCUGGAGAUGUUGAUCCAUCACAGCGUGGGGAGGAUGGUGCUCCUGGUAUCUAGUGGGACGCUACGGAACAUCGUGCACUGUACAGGACCCUCCACAGCAGAGAAGUGUCCUGCCCAGAAUGUCAGUAGUGAUGAGACUGAGAAACCCUGCUCUAUUAUUAAAUAGCUCAUUGAUGGAUUUAGGUUCUUUGAAGACUUAAUAAAGAAAAAAGACAUUAAAAUGUCAUGGGAAGAGGUUAUUGAUCUUUGAUCUCUGUAUUUGGUCAGGAUGCCCGUUUAA